rnacentral:misc_RNA from 1 species
ACACCCCACAUUUCCCAACUUUUUUGUUGUUGAAUGGACUUGAGAGUUUUUACGGUCGCUUCUGUGGCUGUACUCUUUAAAAUCAUAAGGCCUGAACUUGUUUAGUCUGCCUGAACUUUUUUUUUUAAUAUAAAAGAAAGCUCUUGUCAAAAUAAACUCUGUAUGGGGGGCCUCCCAAAUAAUACAUUUCUUAA